CCUACGGGAGGCAGCAGUGAGGAAUAUUGGUCAAUGGACGAGAGUCUGAACCAGCCAAGUAGCGUGAAGGAUGACUGCCCUAUGGGUUGUAAACUUCUUUUAUAUGGGAAUAAAAUGUUUCACGUGUGGGAUUUUGUAUGUACCGUAUGAAUAAGGAUCGGCUAACUCCGUGCCAGCAGCCGCGGUAAUACGGAGGAUCCGGGCGUUAUCCGGAUUUAUUGGGUUUAAAGGGAGCGUAGGCGGAUUGUUAAGUCAGUUGUGAAAGGUUGGGGCUCAACCGGAAAAUUGCAGUUGAAACUGGCAGUCUUGAGUACAGGAGAGGUGGGCGGAAUUCGUGGUGUAGCGGUGAAAUGCUUAGAUAUCACGAAGAACUCCGAUUGCGAAGGCAGCUCACUGGACUGCAACUGACGCUGAGGCUCGAAAGUGUGGGUAUCAAACAGGAUUAGAUACCCCUGUAGUC
rnacentral:rRNA from 1 species